GCGGGCACCUGUUCGGGGGCCACCCCAACUUCAGGGCCAGCAGCAGCUGGGUUGACCGGACCCAGCUUCCCUGACAUCUGGUGGUGGAGCACGCCUGAUCCUUUAAACCUGAAGGCUCAGCAGAGCAGUGGCUACGAUCAUAACCUCUGGCGUUGUGACGCCUCUCUGACACAGGGUCCGCGUCUCACCUCAGCUCUCUGAAGCCCUGGGCUGGGAGCAGAAGCCUCACUCUAGAGAUGGGAAAACCAAAUGCAACGUGCGCUUUCGAGGCAGAUCUGGCUGGAAUUCCUGCUCUGUCCCUGUUUCCUCUUCUGCCCAAGAGCACAGAUAAUGCUUCCUACAGCUUUUAUGUCAGAAGGAGAUAAAACGUCAUAGGGCUCAGUACACUGCCUCGGCCUGCAGCUGCUGCCGAAGCUCCACAGACCAUGGUGGACCAAGGUGGAGCCCACAGCCAUCUGUGCAGGGCAGGGGCUGGACAGAGACCCUGUUGCCAGCCUCGCUGUUGCUACUGCGGGUGAGAGACUGUGCUGCCAGCACCCCAGGCCAGCCCUGGCAGGCCUCUCUCCCAGGGCGGCCCCUGCAUCAUCACCCUUCUUAGCAGCGGAGAGUGUGCGUCCAUUUCUCCGGGGCCACAGGGAGCCCGAGGCUGUCUCUGUUCCUCACGGUGACUCCUGCAGUCUUGGUGCGGCUCACUCACGGAUGAGACAGGACUACAUUCUGAGGGAGCCUCGGCCCCUUGGGGAACACGCUUUUCAAUCCGGGUCUGAGCGCUCCACCCCUCAUUUCCUGGGCAAACAGCCGUCUUUACGUCCAUCAAACCCUCAGCCCAGCCUCUCUGGCUGUGGCUUAAAGAAUUUCUCUGCAUGAACCUCCCAGCCCCAACACCUUUCAAAGUACACAGCUGCUCUCCUUUCAGAAUCUUUUCAUUGCA
rnacentral:lncRNA from 1 species